rnacentral:rRNA from 1 species
AACAAACGCUGGCGGCGUGCCUAAUACAUGCAAGUCGAACGGGGAAAGCUUUCGGGUGAGUACUUGUGGCGCACGGGUGAGUAACGCGUGGAUAAUCUGCCCUCGAAUGGGGAAUAACUAGUCGAAAGAUUAGCUAAUACCGCAUAAGACCACGACUACUGAGGUAGUUGGGGUCAAAGGAGCAAUUCGUUUGAGGAUGAGUCCGCGUAAGAUUAGCUAGUUGGUGAGGUAAUGGCUCACCAAGGAGAUGAUCUUUAACUGGUCUGAGAGGAUGAUCAGUCACACUGGAACUGAGACACGGUCCAGACUCCUACGGGAGGCAGCAGUAGGGAAUAUUGGACAAUGGGGGCAACCCUGAUCCAGCGACGCCGCGUGAGCGAUGAAGGCCUUCGGGUCGUAAAGCUCUGUUGUAAGGGAAAAAGUUCUGAUUGUACCUUACGAGAAAGGAUCGGCUAACUUCGUGCCAGCCGCCGCAGUAA